AGGCGCGUAGCUCAGAUGGUUAGAGUGCUACCUUGACACGGUAGAGGUCCGCGGUUCGAUCCCGCGCGCGCCUACCA
rnacentral:tRNA from 1 species